GCCUGAAUCAGUGUGUGUGUUAGUGGAAGCGUCUGGAAAGACGCGCGAUACAGGGUGACAGCCCCGUACACAAAAAUGCACAUGCUGUGAGCUCGAUGAGUAGGGCGGGACACGUGGUAUCCUGUCUGAAUAUGGGGGGACCAUCCUCCAAGGCUAAAUACUCCUGACUGACCGAUAGUGAACCAGUACCGUGAGGGAAAGGCGAAAAGAACCCCGGCGAGGGGAGUGAAAAAGAACCUGAAACCGUGUACGUACAAGCAGUGGGAGCACAGAGCAAUCUGUGUGACUGCGUACCUUUUGUAUAAUGGGUCAGCGACUUAUAUUCUGUAGCAAGGUUAACCGAAUAGGGGAGCCGAAGGGAAACCGAGUCUUAACUGGGCGUUAAGUUGCAGGGUAUAGACCCGAAACCCGGUGAUCUAGCCAUGGGCAGGUUGAAGGUUGGGUAACACUAACUGGAGGACCGAACCGACUAAUGUUGAAAAAUUAGCGGAUGACUUGUGGCUGGGGGUGAAAGGCCAAUCAAACCGGGAGAUAGCUGGUUCUCCCCGAAAGCUAUUUAGGUAGCGCCUCGUGAAUUCAUCUCCGGGGGUAGAGCACUGUUUCGGCAAGGGGGUCAUCCCGACUUACCAACCCGAUGCAAACUGCGAAUACCGGAGAAUGUUAUCACGGGAGACACACGGCGGGUGCUAACGUCCGUCGUGAAGAGGGAAACAACCCAGACCGCCAGCUAAGGUCCCAAAGUCAUGGUUAAGUGGGAAACGAUGUGGGAAGGCCCAGACAGCCAGGAUGUUGGCUUAGAAGCAGCCAUCAUUUAAAGAAAGCGUAAUAGCUCACUGGUCGAGUCGGCCUGCGCGGAAGAUGUAACGGGGCUAAACCAUGCACCGAAGCUGCGGCAGCGACGCUUAUGCGUUGUUGGGUAGGGGAGCGUUCUGUAAGCCUGUGAAGGUGUACUGUGAGGUAUGCUGGAGGUAUCAGAAGUGCGAAUGCUGACAUAAGUAACGAUAAAGCGGGUGAAAAGCCCGCUCGCCGGAAGACCAAGGGUUCCUGUCCAACGUUAAUCGGGGCAGGGUGAGUCGACCCCUAAGGCGAGGCCGAAAGGCGUAGUCGAUGGGAAACAGGUUAAUAUUCCUGUACUUGGUGUUACUGCGAAGGGGGGACGGAGAAGGCUAUGUUGGCCGGGCGACGGUUGUCCCGGUUUAAGCGUGUAGGCUGGUUUUCCAGGCAAAUCCGGAAAAUCAAGGCUGAGGCGUGAUGACGAGGCACUACGGUGCUGAAGCAACAAAUGCCCUGCUUCCAGGAAAAGCCUCUAAGCAUCAGGUAACAUCAAAUCGUACCCCAAACCGACACAGGUGGUCAGGUAGAGAAUACCAAGGCGCUUGAGAGAACUCGGGUGAAGGAACUAGGCAAAAUGGUGCCGUAACUUCGGGAGAAGGCACGCUGAUAUGUAGGUGAAGUCCCUCGCGGAUGGAGCUGAAAUCAGUCGAAGAUACCAGCUGGCUGCAACUGUUUAUUAAAAACACAGCACUGUGCAAACACGAAAGUGGACGUAUACGGUGUGACGCCUGCCCGGUGCCGGAAGGUUAAUUGAUGGGGUUAGCGCAAGCGAAGCUCUUGAUCGAAGCCCCGGUAAACGGCGGCCGUAACUAUAACGGUCCUAAGGUAGCGAAAUUCCUUGUCGGGUAAGUUCCGACCUGCACGAAUGGCGUAAUGAUGGCCAGGCUGUCUCCACCCGAGACUCAGUGAAAUUGAACUCGCUGUGAAGAUGCAGUGUACCCGCGGCAAGACGGAAAGACCCCGUGAACCUUUACUAUAGCUUGACACUGAACAUUGAGCCUUGAUGUGUAGGAUAGGUGGGAGGCUUUGAAGUGUGGACGCCAGUCUGCAUGGAGCCGACCUUGAAAUACCACCCUUUAAUG
rnacentral:rRNA from 1 species